AUGGAAGAAAGUCCCCGCAGCAAUGUUCCUACAUCUAGUGGAAAGCCUUCCCAGAAGAGUGGAGGCUGUUAUAGCAGCAAUGUUCCUACAUCUAGUGGAAAGUCUUCCCAGAAGAGUGGAGGCUGUUAUAGCAGCAAUGUUCCAACAUCUAGUGGAAAGUCUUCCCAGAAGAGUGGAGGCUGUUAUAGCAGCAAUGUUCCAACAUCUAGUGGAAAGUCUUCCCAGAAGAGUGGAGGCUGUUAUAGCAGUAAUGUUCCAACAUCUAGUGGAAAACCUUCCCAGAAGAGUGGAGGCUGUUAUAGCAGUAAUGUUCCAACAUCUAGUGGAAAACCUUCCCAGAAGAGUGGAGGCUGUUAUAGCAGCAAUGUUCCUACAUCUAGUGGAAAGUCUUCCCAGAAGAGUGGAGGCUGUUAUAGCAGCAAUGUUCCAACAUCUAGUGGAAAGCCUUCCCAGAAGAGUGGAGGCUGUUAUAGCAGCAAUGUUCCUACAUCUAGUGGAAAGCCUUCCCAGAAGAGUGGAGGCUUUUAUAGCAGCAAUGUUCCAACAUCUAGUGGAAAGCCUUCCCAGAAGAGUGGAGGCUGUUAUAGCAGCAAUGUUCCAACAUCUAGUGGAAAGUCUUCCCAGAAGAGUGGAGGCUGUUAUAGCAGUAAUGUUCCAACAUCUAGUGGAAAGCCUUCCCAGAAGAGUGGAGGCUGUUAUAGCAGCAAUGUUCCAACAUCUAGUGGAAAGCCUUCCCAGAAGAGUGGAGGCUGUUAUAGCAGCAAUGUUCCAACAUCUAGUGGAAAGCCUUCCCAGAAGAGUGGAGGCUGUUAUAGCAGCAAUGUUCCUACAUCUAGUGGAAAGCCUUCCCAGAAGAGUGGAGGCUUUUAUAGCAGCAAUGUUCCAACAUCUAGUGGAAAGCCUUCCCAGAAGAGUGGAGGCUGUUAUAGCAGCAAUGUUCCUACAUCUAGUGGAAAGCCUUCCCAGAAGAGUGGAGGCUUUUAUAGCAGCAAUGUUCCAACAUCUAGUGGAAAGCCUUCCCAGAAGAGUGGAGGCUGUUAUAGCAGCAAUGUUCCAACAUCUAGUGGAAAGUCUUCCCAGAAGAGUGGAGGCUGUUAUAGCAGUAAUGUUCCAACAUCUAGUGGAAAGCCUUCCCAGAAGAGUGGAGGCUGUUAUAGCAGCAAUGUUCCAACAUCUAGUGGAAAGCCUUCCCAGAAGAGUGGAGGCUGUUAUAGCAGCAAUGUUCCAACAUCUAGUGGAAAGCCUUCCCAGAAGAGUGGAGGCUGUUAUAGCAGCAAUGUUCCAACAUCUAGUGGAAAGCCUUCCCAGAAGAGUGGAGGCUGUUAUAGCAGCAAUGUUCCAACAUCUAGUGGAAAGCCUUCCCAGAAGAGUGGAGGCUGUUAUAGCAGUAAUGUUCCAACAUCUAGUGGAAAGCCUUCCCAGAAGAGUGGAGGCUGUUAUAGCAGCAAUGUUCCAACAUCUAGUGGAAAGCCUUCCCAGAAGAGUGGAGGCUGUUAUAGCAGCAAUGUUCCAACAUCUAGUGGAAAGCCUUCCCAGAAGAGUGGAGGCUGUUAUAGCAGCAAUGUUCCAACAUCUAGUGGAAAGCCUUCCCAGAAGAGUGGAGGCUGUUAUAGCAGUAAUGUUCCAACAUCUAGUGGAAAGCCUUCCCAGAAGAGUGGAGGCUGUUAUAGCAGCAAUGUUCCAACAUCUAGUGGAAAGCCUUCCCAGAAGAGUGGAGGCUGUUAUAGCAGCAAUGUUCCAACAUCUAGUGGAAAGCCUUCCCAGAAGAGUGGAGGCUGUUAUAGCAGCAAUGUUCCAACAUCUAGUGGAAAGUCUUCCCAGAAGAGUGGAGGCUGUUAUAGCAGCAAUGUUCCAACAUCUAGUGGAAAGCCUUCCCAGAAGAGUGGAGGCUGUUAUAGCAGCAAUGUUCCAACAUCUAGUGGAAAGCCUUCCCAGAAGAGUGGAGGCUGUUAUAGCAGCAAUGUUCCAACAUCUAGUGGAAAGCCUUCCCAGAAGAGUGGAGGCUGUUAUAGCAGCAAUGUUCCAACAUCUAGUGGAAAGCCUUCCCAGAAGAGUGGAGGCUGUUAUAGCAGCAAUGUUCCAACAUCUAGUGGAAAGUCUUCCCAGAAGAGUGGAGGCUGUUAUAGCAGCAAUGUUCCAACAUCUAGUGGAAAGCCUUCCCAGAAGAGUGGAGGCUGUUAUAGCAGCAAUGUUCCAACAUCUAGUGGAAAACCUUCCCAGAAGAGUGGAGGCUGUUAUAGCAGCAAUGUUCCAACAUCUAGUGGAACCAAUGAUUUUGGAAUGAGAUAUUCGAAGAGCAGGUGUCCACAUACUUUUGGCGAUGUAGUGUAUGUCUCACAAAAUACGAGAGAUCGCAUUCCUUUUUCUCUGAACAGUACGGGAGCCUAG
ensembl:lncRNA